rnacentral:rRNA from 1 species
GAUGCAGCCAUGCCGCGUGUAUGAAGAAGGCCUUCGGGUUGUAAAGUACUUUCAGCAGUGAGGAAGGGGGUGUCGUUAAUAGCGGCAUCUCUUGACGUUAGCUGCAGAAGAAGCACCGGCUAACUCCGUGCCAGCAGCCGCGGUAAUACGGAGGGUGCGAGCGUUAAUCGGAAUUACUGGGCGUAAAGCGCAUGCAGGUGGUUUGUUAAGUCAGAUGUGAAAGCCCGGGGCUCAACCUCGGAACUGCAUUUGAAACUGGCAAACUAGAGUACUGUAGAGGGGGGUAGAAUUUCAGGUGUAGCGGUGAAAUGCGUAGAGAUCUGAAGGAAUACCAGUGGCGAAGGCGGCCCCCUGGACAGAUACUGACACUCAGAUGCGAAAGCGUGGGGAGCAAACAGGAUUAGAUACCCUGGUAGUCCACGCCGUAAACGAUGUCUACUUGGAGGUUGUGGG